GACGAACGCUGGCGGCGUGCUUAACACAUGCAAGUCGAACGGAAAGGCCCUGCUUUUGUGGGGUGCUCGAGUGGCGAACGGGUGAGUAACACGUGAGUAACCUGCCCUUGACUUUGGGAUAACUUCAGGAAACUGGGGCUAAUACCGGAUAGGAGCUCCUGCUGCAUGGUGGGGGUUGGAAAGUUUCGGCGGUUGGGGAUGGACUCGCGGCUUAUGAGCUUGUUGGGGGGGUAGUGGCUUACCAAGGCUUUGACGGGUAGGCGGCCUGAGAGGGUGAACGGCCACAUUGGGACUGAGAGACGGCCCAGAAGCCUACGGGAGGCAGCAGUGGAGAAUAUUGCACAAUGGGCGGAAGCCUGAGGCAGCAACGCCGCGUGCGGGAUGACGGCCUUCGGGUUGUGAACCGAUGUCGCCUGUGACGAAGCGUGAGUGACGGUAAUGGGUAAAGAAGCACCGGCUAACUACGUG
rnacentral:rRNA from 1 species